CAGUAGCCACGGUAAUACGAAGGGGGCUAGCGUUGUUCGGAAUUACUGGGCGUAAAGCGCACGUAGGCGGAUUUGUUAGUCAGGGGUGAAAUCCCGGGGCUCAACCUCGGAACUGCCUUUGAUACUGCAAGUCUCGAGUCCGGAAGAGGUGAGUGGAAUUCCUAGUGUAGAGGUGAAAUUCGUAGAUAUCAGGAAGAACACCAGUGGCGAAGGCGGCUCACUGGUCCGGAACUGACGCUGAGGUGCGAAAGCGUGGGGAGCAAACAGGAUUAGAUACCCCGGUAGUCCCUGUCUCUUAUAC
rnacentral:rRNA from 1 species